GAUGUCUUUCAUUUCGUGUACAAAACUCUGCACGCUGCGGCAUCGAAGAAGUUGUCCUGUGUUUGGGUGCACGUAUGCGCUUGGACACGGAUAGCCUGCUUGCUCUCAACGGGUGUUCAACAGUCUACGCGCGCUCGUAACUUGCUCAUGAGGCAAGUUGCUGUUGUGCUGGAGCUGAGAAGAGGUCUGCUGCCUGCAAUGGGUCCAUCUCUCUCAAGUUAUUGCAGUAUUGUAGCUCUCAAGGUUCAAAAAAGUAUGGUGGAAGCUGUUGCCAAGGUUCCGACCAGAAAAGACAGCCAGUAUAAAAGGGUACACGCCACUGAUCUCUACUACAGGGGAUGAACAGCACAUCGAGCGCCCUCGACUGAAGCUGGCCUUGUCCCGGAAGUUGGUGCUUCACAACUUUGCGGCAGCACUUUGUUGCACGGCCUGUGGAGACAAGGUUUCUUAGACAUGGCCAUGGCCCUCAAGGAAGAUGCCGAGGCCACAGGCAGUUCCUCCAGUGACCGUGAAAAGGUCCCCUGGGGCACAAGUCUGGUUUGGCACCCCCACCUUUCUCCUGCAGCUUUUCUGUCUACUUAGCUAACCAGGUGGGUCAAUGAUGGCAAAGGGAAAAAAGAAUCAACAGCAUCAAACGCAGAACUUGCUCAAGCUCAAUGCAUUUUUGGUGUGAAGUGUUUCCCUUAUCAUUUAUCAAAAAACGGGUAAUAAGUAUAUGAUAUGGUCUUCAUAU